GAGGCUGAGGCAGGAAAAUCACUUGAACCCAGGAGGUGGAGGUUGAAGUGAGCUGAGAUCACACCACUGCACUCCAGCCUGGGCAACAGAGCAAGACUCCGUCUCCAAAAAUAACAAAAAAUACAUACAUGCCUUCCUUUCUACUGCUGCACAACCUCACUGUGUCAGGCAGGCAUCUCUGGAUCCAGCUGGUUUUUGUUUCGCUGAGCUCGGCUUCUUCCUGGAACUUUUUGAAACAACACUCAAGGGUCUCAAGUGGGUAUUUUUUCAUGUUGUAUACCCAAAAACCUGAAAACCCAGGGCCCUGGGUUACAGUGUUUCUACGUCGUAUACCCAAAAACCUGAAAACCUGAGGACCCUGGGUUCCAGUACUUCCUGGCAGGCGAUCUUACCCACUACCACCAUGUAGUCAAUUUGAACCACCUCCUCAACCACCUAUGAGGGCCUAAACACUCUUUUACUCCCUUUCCUGCUA
rnacentral:sRNA from 1 species